rnacentral:rRNA from 1 species
GACGAACGCUGGCGGCGUGCCUAAUACAUGCAAGUAGAACGCUGAAGGAGGAGCUUGCUUCUCUGGAUGAGUUGCGAACGGGUGAGUAACGCGUAGGUAACCUGCCUGGUAGCGGGGGAUAACUAUUGGAAACGAUAGCUAAUACCGCAUAAUAGUACAUGUUGCAUGAUAUUUGCUUAAAAGGUGCAAUUGCAUCACUACCAGAUGGACCUGCGUUGUAUUAGCUAGUUGUUGGGGUAACGGCUCACCAAGGCGACGAUACAUAGCCGACCUGAGAGGGUGAUCGGCCACACUGGGACUGAGACACGGCCCAGACUCCUACGGGAGGCAGCAGUAGGGAAUCUUCGGCAAUAGACGGAAGUCUGACCGAGCAACGCCGCGUGAGUGAAGAAGGUUUUCGGAUCGUAAAGCUCUGUUGUAAGAGAAGAACGAGUGUGAGAGUGGAAAGUUCACACUGUGACGGUAUCUUACCAGAAAGGGACGGCUAACUACGUG